AUUCAUGAAAGGUUGUCCUUUGCAAACCUUAAACUCUAAACGCGCAAAGCUUAAUGGGAGCACAAGUUUCAAACUUAAUAGUUGAAUCUUGCAACUAUAUUUAUGAAUGAAUUGUUCUCGUAAGGAUAUAUUUACCAUGUCUCUAAGAAAUUGGCUCCACUGAUAAAUAUAUGAUUUCUAAACUGAUUAAGGUUGAAGGUAUAGACUUUAAGGUUUGCAAUGGCCAACCUCUUUUGAAUUCGCUGCAACUUAGAGUUAACUGUAUACUUUAUACAGCCGCCUUUAUACAGUCAAGAAAAGUCGAUGAUAAAUUUUCUCAUUAGUUGGUUAUAGUUGUUGUUUUGUAAUGGCAAUAAAAUGUUUUCCACAGGAA